AGAGGCACAGGUAUACUCCCUGGCCAGUAGUCCCAGCUGAGUCCACCCUUCCGGGUGUCCUGCCAAAGUGCCAGACAGACUCCUCCUGGUUGACACAAAAAGGACUUGAGACCCCGUCCCUGCCCUCAAGGAGCUCCUGUCCUGCAGAACAAAGAGCUAUAGCUCAAUGAAGAAGUUUCCCGUGGAUCCGUGAUGCAUGCGUAGAAAAAGCACAUCUCCAUCGCUUUCCAGUACGAAAGAAGGCUGGAAAUGCACAGCAACUACAAAAACGUGUGACGAUCUUGAUCGAGCACCAGCUAUGUGAUCGGCACUACCCCAAGCGCUGAGAGCAUAGCAGGUAACAAAAUGGCCAAAACUUCGUGUCUUCAGGAGUUUAUAAUCGCGUCUCACCUUCUAAAGAACUUCCAUGUUGAGUUAUUUCACGGAGAGGCCCAAGGAAUGAAGAGUGUGGCCUCUGGCCAACAGCCUCCAACAACCAUGUGAGUGAGCUUGAAAGUGGAUCCUUCUAUAGUCUAGUCUUCAGAUGAGAUCACAGCCCAACUGAUACCUUGACUGCAACCUGCAGAAGUGACGCCAUGCCUUUCCCAUGCCUGGGCUCAAGAGACCCUGCACAAUAAUGUUGGCCGUUCUCUUAGGACCCUCCUGCUGCUCCAUGCACAAACCCGUGGGUAGGAUGAGAGGUCGUGUGGAGAAAUACUGAGUCAGCCCAGUUGCCCCAGGCAAGCGAGGCAGCCCAACCAAGAACAGCAAAAUGCCACCUACCUGACCACGGGGACAGGUAUGAACUCAGCCAUACUCAGCUCAGAUGACUGGAAGU